rnacentral:rRNA from 1 species
AGUGAACGCUGGCGGUAGGCCUAACACAUGCGAGUCGAACGGCAGCACAGUAAGAGCUUGCUCUUACGGGUGGCGAGUGGCGGACGGGUGAGGAAUACAUCGGAAUCUACUUUUUCGUGGGGGAUAACGUAGGGAAACUUACGCUAAUACCGCAUACGACCUACGGGUGAAAGCAGGGGAUCUUCGGACCUUGCGCGAUUGAAUGAGCCGAUGUCGGAUUAGCUAGUUGGCGGGCUAAAGGCCCACCAAGGCGACGAUCCGUAGCUGGUCUGAGAGGAUGAUCAGCCACACUGGAACUGAGACACGGUCCAGACUCCUACGGGAGGCAGCAGUGGGGAAUAUUGGACAAUGGGCGCAAGCCUGAUCCAGCCAUACCGCGUGGGUGAAGAAGGCCUUCGGGUUGUAAAGCCCUUUUGUUGGGAAAGAAAAGCAGCAGGUUAAUACCCCGCUGUUCUGACGGUACCCAAAGAAUAAGCACCGGCUAACUUCGUG